rnacentral:rRNA from 1 species
UUACGGGGCGGAUAACUGCAGUCGAGCGCCUCCAGCUAUGGUGAAGGCGCGGCAAACGGCUCAGUAACACGUGGCUAACCUGCCCUUGAGACGAAGAAAACCCCGGGAAACUGGGGGUAAUCCUCGAUAGAAGAAGACACCUGGAAGGGGUCUCCUUCCAAAAGGCGUCUAGAUCAUGCUUCUGGACGUUGCUCAAGGACGGGGCCGCGGCCGAUCAGGUUGUUGGUGAGGCAAAGGCUCACCAAGCCUAUAACCGGUACGGGCCGUGAGAGCGGGAGCCCGGAGAUGGGCACUGAGACAAGGGCCCAGGCCCUACGGGGCGCAGCAGUUACGAAAACUCCGCAAUGCACGAAAGUGUGACGGGGCUACCCCGAGUGCCGUCCGCUGAGGGCGGCUUUUCCCUGGUGUAAGGAGCCGGGGGAAUAAGGAGAGGGCAAGACUGGUGUCAGCCGCCGCGGUAAUACCAGCUCUCCGAGUGGUAGGGAUGAUUAUUGGGCUUAAAGCGUCCGUAGCCGGCUUAGCAAGUUUCCUGUUAAAUUCAGCGACCUAAUCGUUGAGCCGCGGGAAAUACUACUAGGCUAGGAGGCGGGAGAGGUCAACGGUACUUCCGGGGUAGGGGUGAAAUCCUAUAAUCCCGGGAGGACCACCAGUGGCGAAGGCUGUUGACUAGAACGCGCUCGACGGUGAGGGACGAAAGCUGGGGGAGCGAACCGGAUUAGAUACCCGGGUAGUCCCAGCUGUAAACGAUGCAGGCUAGGUGUGUGGGCGGCUACGGGCCGUUCAUGUGCCGUAGAGAAAUCGUUAAGCCUGCCGCCUGGGGGAGUACGGUCGCAAGGCUGAAACUUAAAGGAAUUGGCGGGGGAGCACCACAAGGGGUGAAGCCUGCGGUUCAAUUGGAGUCAACGCCGGG